rnacentral:rRNA from 1 species
CCUACGGGAGGCAGCAGUGGGGAAUAUUGGACAAUGGGCGAAAGCCUGAUCCAGCCAUGCCGCGUGUGUGAAGAAGGCCUUUUGGUUGUAAAGCACUUUAAGCGAGGAGGAGGCUACUGAGAUUAAUACUCUAGGAUAGUGGACGUUACUCGCAGAAUAAGCACCGGCUAACUCUGUGCCAGCAGCCGCGGUAAUACAGAGGGUGCGAGCGUUAAUCGGAUUUACUGGGCGUAAAGCGUGCGUAGGCGGCUUUUUAAGUCGGAUGUGAAAUCCCUGAGCUUAACUUAGGAAUUGCAUUCGAUACUGGGAAGCUAGAGUAUGGGAGAGGAUGGUAGAAUUCCAGGUGUAGCGGUGAAAUGCGUAGAGAUCUGGAGGAAUACCGAUGGCGAAGGCAGCCAUCUGGCCUAAUACUGACGCUGAGGUACGAAAGCAUGGGGAGCAAACAGGAUUAGAUACCCUGGUAG